rnacentral:rRNA from 1 species
ACCAGACUCCUACGGGAGGCAGCAGUGGGGGAUAUUGCACAAUGGGGGGAACCCUGAUGCAGCGACGCCGCGUGGGUGAAGAAGCGCCUCGGCGCGUAAAGCCCUGUCAGCAGGGAAGAAAAUGACGGUACCUGAAGAAGAAGCCCCGGCUAACUACGUGCCAGCAGCCGCGGUAAUACGUAGGGGGCAAGCGUUAUCCGGAUUUAUUGGGUUUAAAGGGUGCGUAGGCUGUGAGGUAAGUCAGCGGUGAAAUGCCCCCGCUCAACGGGGUGAAGUGCCAUUGAUACUGCCUUGCUGGAAUGCGGAUGCCGUGGGAGGAAUGUGUGGUGUAGCGGUGAAAUGCAUAGAUAUCACACAGAACACCGAUUGCGAAGGCAUCUCACGAAUCCGCGAUUGACGCUGAUGCACGAAAGCGUGGGUAUCAAACAGGAUUAGAUACCCCCGUA